AAACCUCUGACAAUAAGUGUGGAUGUUU
rfam:Oryzias latipes DNA, chromosome13, strain: Hd-rR.